AAAGAAUCUAAGCGAAAGGAGGACAUUUGUACGUUGAUCGGAGCUUCGCCGGUUUCUGCAGUUUCUCACCGAUUUCUGGAAAAAAAUCCGGCCACCCUGACUGUGUUAGGUGAUUGACGGUCUUCCUUGGGUGAGCGGUUUCGGUGUGUAUUGUGUUUAAUUGAAGACGCAGCGGGAAUAUCGAGCGGGUAAUCCUACAGGUCAGGAAAAUCAGGAAGGUGAUCGAGCUGCGUAGAGUAGCUGCAUUUGUGUGAAUCUGACUUUCUUUUGUGAGGUGUGUUAUGCUCAUUGAGCUACAUUUAUAAUUUGGUGAGAGUGUGCUGUAAUAAACAAAUUUGAGAUUUGGUUUAUGUAAUAUCGAGCGAUGUGAGGUGUGGUUGUUUUGAGAAAAAAA